rnacentral:lncRNA from 1 species
UUGCGGCUGCAGCCGUCCCUGCUGCCGCCACAGCUGCCCCUGCCGCCUCCGGCUCUUGCUCGCGCUCCUGCUUCAGCUCCCGCUGCCAUUGACGUCAGAGGGGCUGGCACAUGACUUUGGAGAGACCAAUCAGGAAAGCCCUGGGCUGCUUCUGCACUCUCUCAACACAACUCCUGCUCCCUCCAUCUCCCCCUUCCCCCCGCCCUCCUCCCCUCCUCCCUUCUACUCUCCCACCCCCCACUACUCCCCCUCCCCCCUCCCUUCGGUUUCGGCGGCGGCGACGGCGGCGGCAGCAGCAGCAGCAGCACUAACUCCGCUGCUCCCCCCCACCUUCCUCCUCCAGCUCACACAGGCACACACACAUAUUCACACAUACACACACUCACUGUACGCUCACACUGUACACACACCCGCACUGUACACACGCGCACACACAUUGUGCACCCAGGCAGGCGCGGAGCCGGGAGAGGGGAGGAGAGGACAGGAGGGGGGGGAAAAGCCCCCCCCCUUCCCCACUACCCCAGGCUGUGGGGCGGGCGGCACAAAGAGAGAAGCAGCUUCCUCGCUCGCUCCGUUCCCCCUCCUCUCCCUCUCGUCCACCUUUGUCAGCGCGGCGGCUCUGCCUCCUUCCCCCGCCUCCGCCACGCUCGGCGCUGGGCACCGCCACGGAGGACAUGCCUUUCGCCGGCUAGGCUAGCCCGGGGAGGAGCGCUCCGAGGAUCCGGGCAGGCAGUCGGGCGGACGAGCCGCGAGGGAGCGGGCAGAGCGGCGCGGAGCCGAGAGGGGCUGCCGCCGCUGCCGCCGCCGCUCGUGCUCCGCGGGCGCCCCGCGGCCAGUCGGGCUCGCGCCUCCCGCUCCCGGUCCACUCCUGCCCCCUCCCACCGGGGGCUCUUUGGAUUUCCCCCUCCCCCCGCCCACCUCACCCGUGAGUGGGGGGCGGGGGGGCGGGGGCUGCCGUGACACGGACGGUCCUCGGGGCUCCCUCCGUCCCUCCCUCCUCCUCCCCCGGGAGGUGGCGGUGAGGAGGAGGAG